CCUACGGGUGGCAGCAGUGGGGAAUAUUGGGCAAUGGGCGCAAGCCUGACCCAGCAAUGCCGCGUGUAGGAAGAAGGCUUUCGGGUUGUAAACUUCUUUUCUGCGGGACGAAGGAAGGGACGGUACCUCAGGAAUAAGCUACGGCUAACUACGUGCCAGCAUCCGCGGUAAUACGUAGGUGGCAAGCGUUAUCCGGAUUUAUUGGGUGUAAAGGGCGUGUAGGCGGGAAAGCAAGUCAGAUGUGAAAACUCAGGGCUCAACCCUGAGCCUGCAUUUGAAACUGUUUUUCUUGAGUGCUGGAGAGGCAAUCGGAAGUCCGUGUGGAGCGGUGAAAUGCGUAGAUAGACGGAGGAACACCAGUGGCGAAGGCGGAUUGCUGGACAGUAACUGACGCUGAGGCGCGAAAGCGUGGGGAGCAAACAGGAUUAGAUACCCGAGUAGUC
rnacentral:rRNA from 1 species